UACGUAGGGUGCGAGCGUUAAUCGGAAUUACUGGGCGUAAAGUGUGCGCAGGCGGCAGAGCAAGUCGAGUGUGAAAGCCCCGGGCUUAACUUGGGAAUUGCGCUCGAAACUACUUCGCUGGAGUGUGGCAGAGGAAGGUGGAAUUCCACGUGUAGCGGUGAAAUGCGUAGAGAUGUGGAGGAACACCAAUGGCGAAGGCAGCCUUCUGGGCCAACACUGACGCUCAUGCACGAAAGCGUGGGGAGCAAACAGG
rnacentral:rRNA from 1 species